rnacentral:misc_RNA from 1 species
GAUGAAGAACGCAGCGAAAUGCGAUACGUAGUGUGAAUUGCAGAAUUCAGUGAAUCAUCGAAUCUUUGAACGCACAUUGCACCUCUCGGUAUUCCGGGAGGUAUGCCUGUUCGAGCGUCAUUUGUACCCUCAAGCUCUGCUUGGUGUUGGGUGUUUGUUCCGCCUCUGUGUGUGAACUCGCCUCAAAACAAUUGGCAGCCGGCGUACUUGUUUCGGAGCGCAGCACAUUUUGCGAUCCCGAUCAACGUACAGCGGCAUCCAAGAAGCCUUAUUUAACGCUCUUGACCUCGGAUCAGGUAGGGAUACCCGCUGAACUUAAGCAUAUCAAUAAGCGGAGGA